GAUGAACGCUGGCGGUAUGCUUAACACAUGCAAGUCGAACGGUCACUUCGGUGAUAGUGGCGGACGGGUGAGUAACGCGUGAGAAUCUGUCUUCAGGUCGGGGACAACAGUUAGAAAUGACUGCUAAUACCGGAUGUGCCUUUGGGUGAAAGAUUUAUUGCCUGAAAAAGAGCUCGCGUCAGAUUAGCUAGUAGGUGGUGUAAGAGACUACCUAGGCUCCGAUCUGUAGCUGGUCUGAGAGGACGAUCAGCCACACUGGAACUGAGACACGGUCCAGACUCCUACGGGAGGCAGCAGUGGGGAAUUUUCCGCAAUGGGCGAAAGCCUGACGGAGCAAUACCGCGUGAGGGACGAAGGCUUUUGGGUCGCAAACCUCUUUUCUCAAGGAAGAUGAUGACGGUACUUGAGGAAUAAGCAUCGGCUAACUCUGUG
rnacentral:rRNA from 1 species